GGAGUUUAUUAUGGGAGUCCUGGAUAAGGUUUUAACUGAUAGAAUCUCAAUUCAACUGAGAAGAAUACAAAGGAACUGCUCCUUCAUAUACACUUUUGUUAUC